rnacentral:rRNA from 1 species
CCUACGGGAGGCUGCAGUGGGGGAUAUUGCACAAUGGGGGGAACCCUGAUGCAGCGACGCCGCGUGGGUGAAGGAGUGCUUCGGCAUGUAAAGCCCUAUCGGCAGGGAAGAAGCAAGACGGUACCUGACUAAGAAGCACCGGCUAACUACGUGACAGCAGCCGCGGUAAGACGUAGGGGGCGAGCGUUAUCCGGAUUCACGGGGUGUAAAGGGAGCGGAGACGGCCCUGCCAGCCAGGGGGGAAAGCCCGGGGCCCAACCCCGGGACUGCCCUUGGAACGGCAUGGCUGGAGUGCUGGCGGGGCAGGCGGCCUUCCUGUUGUAGCGGUGCAAUGCGUAGAUAUCAGGAGGAACACCGGCGGCGAAGGCGGCCUGCUGGACCGCGACUGACGUUGAGGCUCGAAAGCGUGGGGAGCGAACAGGAUUAGAUACCCUUGUAGUC